rnacentral:tRNA from 1 species
UCCCCUGUAGCUCAGCUGGUAGAGCAAAUGACUGUUAAUCAUUGGGUCGUUGGUUCGAGUCCAACCGGGGGAG